rnacentral:rRNA from 1 species
GACGAACGCUGGCGGCGUGCCUAAUACAUGCAAGUAGAACGCUGAAGCUUGGUGCUUGCACCGAGCGGAUGAGUUGCGAACGGGUGAGUAACGCGUAGGUAACCUGCCUGGUAGCGGGGGAUAACUAUUGGAAACGAUAGCUAAUACCGCAUAAGAGUAGAUGUUGCAUGACAUUUGCUUAAAAGGUGCAAUUGCAUCACUACCAGAUGGACCUGCGUUGUAUUAGCUAGUUGGUGAGGUAACGGCUCACCAAGGCAACGAUACAUAGCCGACCUGAGAGGGUGAUCGGCCACACUGGGACUGAGACACGGCCCAGACUCCUACGGGAGGCAGCAGUAGGGAAUCUUCGGCAAUGGACGGAAGUCUGACCGAGCAACGCCGCGUGAGUGAAGAAGGUUUUCGGAUCGUAAAGCUCUGUUGUAAGAGAAGAACGAGUGUGAGAGU